CAGCAGCCGCGGGAAAACGUAGGGUGCGAGCGUUAAUCGGAAUUACUGGGCGUAAAGCGUGCGCAGGCGGUUUUGUAAGACAGGCGUGAAAUCCCCGGGCUCAACCUGGGAAUGGCGCUUGUGACUGCAAAGCUAGAGUGCGGCAGAGGGGGAUGGAAUUCCGCGUGUAGCAGUGAAAUGCGUAGAUAUGCGGAGGAACCCCGAUGGCGAAGGCAAUCCCCUGGGCCUGCACUGACGCUCAUGCACGAAAGCGUGGGGAGCAAACAGGAUUAGAUACCCGCGUAGUCCCUGUCUCUUAUAC
rnacentral:rRNA from 1 species